GACGAACGCUGGCGGCGUGCUUAACACAUGCAAGUCGAACGGAAAGGCCCUGCUUUUGUGGGGUGCUCGAGUGGCGAACGGGUGAGUAACACGUGAGUAACCUGCCCUUGACUUUGGGAUAACUUCAGGAAACUGGGGCUAAUACCGGAUAGGAGCUCCUGCUGCAUGGUGGGGGUUGGAAAGUUUCGGCGGUUGGGGAUGGACUCGCGGCUUAUCAGCUUGUUGGUGGGGUAGUGGCUUACCAAGGCUUUGACGGGUAGCCGGCCUGAGAGGGUGACCGGCCACAUGGGGACUGAGAUACGGCCCAGACUCCUACGGGAGGCAGCAGUGGGGAAUAGUGCACAAUGGGCGGAAGCCGGAUGCAGCAACGCCGCGUGAGGGAUGACGGCCUUCGGGUUGUAAACCGCUUUCGCCUGUGACGAAGCGUGAGUGAAGGUAAUGGGUAAAGAAGCACCGGCUAACUACGUG
rnacentral:rRNA from 1 species